rnacentral:rRNA from 1 species
UACGUAGGGCGCAAGCGUUGUCCGGAAUUAUUGGGCGUAAAGAGCUCGUAGGCGGUUUGUCGCGUCUGCUGUGAAAACCUAAGGCUCAACCUUGGGCUUGCAGUGGGUACGGGCAGACUAGAGUGCGGUAGGGGGUGACUGGAAUUCCUGGUGUAGCGGUGGAAUGCGCAGAUAUCAGGAGGAACACCGAUGGCGAAGGCAGGUCACUGGGCCGCAACUGACGCUGGAGGAGCGAAAGCAUGGGGAGCGAACAGG